GUCGCUGUAAGUCCAGCGGCCUGGGAUUGGCGUCCCGGAUUCAGAGGCGGACACAACCGCCGUUUUCGAGCGGUUUUUUU
rnacentral:sRNA from 2 species